rnacentral:lncRNA from 1 species
CCCAAGUGCUGGUAUGGUGUUUGUUAAGCCUGGCCUUUGUGAAGCUCCCUGGGGUCUCCCUAGAAAUGCAAGCACACAGCAGAGUGGAUGAGCGAUGUAACAAGCUGUCCCUCCGUGGGGCACGGAGGUGAAUGCAGUGGUUAUUCUGUCAGCUCUAAUACAGAAAACCCUCUCCAGGAGAAUUCUGCAGUUUUACAAAGUAACACUGGUGCCACUACAAAUGGGACUAGGUACUAUUGGGUCAGUGUGGGAAAGGACACAGCAGCAAGGAUAGCUCCUGUAUUCUACCAAGUUUCCUGACCAAUUUCCCGCCUCUCAAUGAAGACACUGAGUACCAGGUCGGACUGACUACACAGAUAUUUCUUCAGUUUCUGAAACUUGUCAAGAGUCUUUCCAUAUUUGGAACAUUGCACAUCAGGAUAUAUCUGGUAGCCACCCAGCCUGCCCCCGCCAACCUUCCUUGAACCCUUCAGAGCUCAUGCCCAGGAAGCAUCUUCUAAGCGGUGCUGUCAGUGAGAGUUCUUUUUAGAUGCCAAUUAACCAGACUCCAUGAUGUGCUUCAAAUCAGAUAUGCUGCACCCUCACUCCUGAUCGAGUCAAGUCGUAACCAGAUUCUACUUCCUGCUCUAGUUCACUGAAGAGAAUUAACAUUGUCUAUAUAGGC